AAAUAAUCUUUGCUUCACAUAGAGCUCGUAAGUGAUCACUGCCUUUCACUACAUGCUAAAUGAGGAAGCACUCGAGUAGUUGAAAGGCCAGGCGAGAAGUGAGAUAAAGGCGUGAAGCAAUGACCAAUCCUAUCCAAUACACAAUUAUGCCAUAUUCAAGCAGCAAACUGUACCGUGUCGGCGUAAUAUACCUUUGCCUAUAAGUCAAGAAAAC
rnacentral:lncRNA from 1 species